rnacentral:sRNA from 1 species
CCACCUCAAUUGACAGCUAGUAACAUGUUACCAUGCCCUAUCUGAACUGGUUAGUCAAUACCUUUUGGUGGAGCUCUGCAAACAUUUUUCUCCGUUGUGGUGAAUGAUUUAUUUCAUUGUUAAUGACCAAUGCUUUAUCUCUGUGGCAUGACGUGAUUGCCCUACCAGGGCUUCUCCCCUGGGGAACCCUUUUCCAGGGAUAAGAAUGUGACUUCUAUGCUUACAGUGACUGGCUUUGAUCUGUGGCUGUCUGUGCUGGCCCUAGGCAUUGUCUGUACCGUCUAUACAGCUCUGGGUGGGCUGAAGGCCGUCAUCUGGACAGAUGUGUUCCAGACACUGGUCAUGUUCCUCGGGCAGCUGGCAGUUAUCAUCGUGGGGUCAGCCAAGGUGGGCGGCUUGGGGCGUGUGUGGGCCGUGGCUUCCCAGCACGGCCGCAUCUCUGGGUUUGAGUAAGUAUACCCCUACUCCUGGCUGGGGUCUGCAGUGCCUGGGCGCUGAGCCCAUCCUAGAGGCUGGUCUCGGCUAUAGUAAGCAGAAGGUAAACUGGGAAGCCUGAGGUGUAACAGCAGACAGUGGGAAACUGGUCCUGCAGAGAUGGAGGGUGAUUACAGGUGCCCGGCUAGUGUUUAUAGAGAGUCAGGACAUUACCUGGGAUGAGUACCUG